CAUUAAAGUCCACAUGGAAUGUGGCUCAUCUGAGCAUUUGGCAUGUUCUAGAAGAUGAAAUCAUUUCAAAAAGUCAGCCAAAAGGGUAUGGAAAAGGAGGGAAUCUUGGAUGUGAGCAUAGUGACCAACUCAGCAGUCUACACAUAUUUAUGGAUAAAAGCACAAAUACUGAAAUAUUAAAAAAUUGUGAUGGGAAUUAUGAACACUGAUUAUGUGAUCAUGAUAUGCUGGAAUUAUUCUGAAGAAACAAAAGGAAAAGCCAAGCUAGAGGAACAUGACCUGGGUCAGGAGAUGUCGUGUAAGAGUACUGACCCUUGGGAACCACAGCGAACACUUGGAAGACACUUGCAGAGAGAAUUUGUAAGAGUCACUGGAGAGCUUGCUUCCAUUGCUCUGCUAUCCUCAUGUGAAGACACAGAGAAGUCUGCAGUUUACAGCCUGGAAGAGGGUUUUCACCGGAACCCCACCCUGCUGGCAUCUUCAUCUCAGACUCAGCCUUUUGAACUGUGAGAAAUAAAUUUAUAAAUUUAUAACAUUGUUUAUAAGCCACCUCAUUUCUGAGUAUUUUGUUGUAGCAGCUGAGCUGAUGAACACACUACCCUGUUUCUUUCACUGCUUGUUCCAUUUUGCCCCAUCUGCUUAUCCCUGACCAAUUCAUUAAGGUAUACAACUCCUUUCUCUUCCUUCUCAUCCCUUCCUGCCACAUGUAUUGGCCAUGCUCUACCAACACUGUGCUAUUUACUGUUUAUAUAGUGGUGAACAAAAUGGAAACAGUGCCUGCAUCCAUGAGUGUUACAACUUGAUACGGAAGAUUUAACAUGAUGAACACAGUUAAAUAUGUAAAUACAAAUUUUCUGAAAUGUACCAUGAAAGAAAAUGUGUGUGUUUUUUCCUGUGAAAGAGAUAAUAACUUGGUGAUGUGCUUUAGUUUGAGGGCCCAGGGAAGGAACUACCAUCGAUUCUGAAGGACGAUGAGCCAAAAAAAAAAAAAAAAAAAAAAAGAGUUGCCUGGUAAGGGAGAGGAUUAAGACCUCUGCAGAUCUGAAGGAUGAGGAAAUGGGUUCUCAGUUGGAAGAACACUUUUUUUCCCAGUGGGAAGGGAGGAGAAUAUCGUUCUUCAGUUUGAACACAUGAUAGAAAACUUGGUUUAAGCCAUGAGAAUCUCAAAAUUUCUACUCAAAACCUUUAGAUGUUUCUUAGAGUUGUUCUAGCAUCUAAAUUCCAUACAACAAAUGAAAAAUCAGCCUAUUUUUCUGUUUAAAUAUCCUUUCUUCCACCACCUUGUAUUGUUUCUGUUGAGUACUUGGGUAGACACAUGUUGUUUCUUUAUAUUUAGAUUUUCACCAGUAUGUGUUAGAAUCAUAUCUUUAAUUACUCUUUCCUGGGUCAGAUCUUUAUUCAUCUCAGAAUAUUUCUUCAUUGUGUUUAAUUAAUUUGAUGUGACAUCAAAUGUUUGUAGUGUUUUCCUUUUCCUUCAUUUUUUAAUGAAAUUUUGAUUGUUUACAUCUUUACUCUUCAUUUGCUGCUAUAAAAUUAAUUGUAUUUUCUUCAAUAAUUUUUAGCUUGACGUUUUCCCCAUCCAAAUCCUGGCAGAAAUCCUCAAGCAUUUUAAUUUUAAGUUUAAUGCAGGAUAAAUUCUCCUUUUUAUGGAGCAGCUACCUUUAUGUUCUCCAAGAAUUGCUGUCCCCAUAUAAAGCAGUUGAUCUACAAACUCUUUUUUCUACUCUGUCCUUACUCUAUCAACGAACAGGCAUCUGCCGCAAGCCAUAAGAGCCUAUAGGUAGCUUCAAACUUGUGGUUCUAGACCCUUCUUGGAACUAACAGGUCACAGAGUCCACAAAAACCCCUGUAUCUUACUAAUAAAUUCUCUUUUUAUUUUUA